UCCCGGGUAGCGCAGUGGUAGCGCAGCUCGCUGUUAACGAGUUGGUCGUCAGUUCGAAUCUGACCCCGGGAGCCA
rnacentral:tRNA from 1 species